rnacentral:lncRNA from 1 species
AAGCAGGAACAUAUUCCCCAAAGCCCUAGGCCCCACACACCUGCUCUGGACACCAAAAAUUGUAUCUUGUGUCCCUCAGCUAUUCCGUGGAUGCCUCGGAGGUCACUGACCUGCAUGUUGUCAGUUACGAAGUGGAGCAAGACCUGAUUCCACUGAUUAUCUCCAACUGCCAGUAUCAAGUGGAGCAAGGUGGGGAGACAUUGCAGGAAUUUGACCUAGAGAAGAUCCAGCGGCAGAUUAGCAGCCGCUUCCUCCAGGGCAAGCCCCGGCUGACCCUCAAGGGGAUACCCACGCUGGUAUACAGACAUGACUGGAACUUUGAACAUCUCUUUGUGGACAUCAAGAACAAAAUGGCACAGAGCCCCCUUCCCCACUCAGCAAUGAGUGCCAUCAGUGGAGAGCUUCAGUCCUACAGCAGUGCCUGUGAAGCCCUCUCUGUCAUAGAGGUCACUCUGGGCUUUCUAGGCACAGUUGGUGGGGAUCCAAAUAUGCACCUGAAUGUGUAUGUCCAAGAAAUCCUGCGAAUGGACGACCAAACAACUCCAGUUUUAAAGGCCUUAAGCAGAUGUCAGUUAAAGCACGUCAUUGCCCUAUGGCAGUUACUCUCUGCUUUUAAGUCGGAACAGCUACUGCGACUGAAGAAAGAUCCCUUUCGGGAAAUCAGUUCUAGAUACAAAGCAGACCUCAGCCCAGAAAGUGCUAAGCUCCUCAGCACCUUCUUGAAUCACACAGACCUAGAUGCUUUCCUCAUGGAGCUACAUGAGAUGAUGGUGUUGAAACUAAAAAACAUUCAGACCCAGGACAGCUUCAAACCUGAAUGGAGCCUGAGGGACACUCUGGUGCCUUACAUGGAAACUAAAGAGAGCGAAGUUCUUCCAGAAGUGGAAUCCCAGUUUCCAGAAGAGAUACUGCUGGCCAGCUGCGUCUCUGUGUGGAAAGUGGCAGCUGCACGGAAACAGGACCGGCAAGCAAAAUAGGAUUCUGUACUCUGUCUCUUUAUGUGCUGCGGACACAGCUCCCCUUCCCUCCACCAUGCCUCUGGGGGCACCUGGAAGGAAAGUGUUGGCACAGCACUGAAUUCAAGGCCAGCAUGCACUGUGCCAGCUGAUGGAUUUUUUGAGAGCUAGGCUGUUUCUGGAACACAUGAAGAUCCAGAACUUUCACUUUAUAUUAUGAGUAUCAAGUGGUGAGAAUGGCAGUUAGUUGAAACUGGAAAUCAACCACCAUCCUAUGCAUUCAAGGAGCAACAGAAAGGAAGAGUCACAAUAGGGGUUACACCCAGCAAUGACCUGUGUUGGACCUGCAGCCUGUUCCUCGUGCUUCCUCAUGUUGCUACACAGAGGCCGAAUGCAGGGGGUUUGGUGUCUUUUCUUCCCUAUGAUAUUCUGCGCACACAGAAGAGAACCUGAUUUUCUUCUCUCUCCCAGUCCCUUAAAUUCUGAGUUCUGUACUCAUAUUUCUUGAGUUCCAAGUUGUGAAAAUAAUACCACACUCUUUUUGUCUUCUCACUAACAUGAGGAAAGCCAGGGGGUCCGCACAUGAGACUCCACUGUAAGUCACUGCUAGAUUCCAAAGGGUCAGAGCCAACAACUCUGGAGAACAUGAGAGUUGGGACGCUGCUUGGGUUUUGGUUUCCCCAUGAAUAAAAUGGAAUUGACUGACAGCCAAAGUGCUUUCCAGUUCUCAUAUCUUGAGAUUCUAAAUGAAAGUUUGUCAUUGUCAGCAUGGAUCAGAGGCAGGCUCUUAGAGAUGGCAUGGGGAGUUUUUGGCUUUGCACUGCAUAAGCAUGAAGUCUUGGUGUGAUCUCAGCUUCCCUGAGUAUAUGCAUUCCUGGUCCUUUCUUUGGGUCUCAACCACACCAGAAAAACUAAGCCUCAGAGCGAGUACAAAACCAGUUCUGUUUCUGAAAAAGGAAAAAUUACUCUCCUCGAUCUUGUGCUGCAUUUUUCAUUAAGUUUUGUCUCUGUUUGAAACCCACUUUGAUGUCCUGGACCACUGCAUAAAUUCCUGUACCUCACAGCUCAGAACUCGUUUGCAGUGAGAUCCAGCCAUCCACACCUAGGAGGCCCUGACUUUCAAGUAUAUUCCAGAUAAGUUAGGGACCCAAUCAACUUGAUAUCAGGCCUGUGUACUUUUGAGCUACAGAAAUGCAGAAUGGGGAAGGAGGGCACAGCUCAGUAGUAGAGUGCUUGCCUCACAUUCACAAGGUCAGAGGUUCAACCCACAACACCACAAAAAAAGAAAAAAGAAAAAAAAAGUUACCUGGCACAGGCCCUGUGCACACCUGCAAAGGUAGGUGCAGAAGGAAGUGAUUCCAUUUCCAUGGAUGACUUCUCACAGCAGACCACCACAAAGAAAGUGCAGUGACAGAUCUCAGGUAGCAACUCCUUUCAUAACACACACUUCCAUUUAGAGAGCUGUGAUGAACAUUCCAGACUAUGCAAGCCACUCCUAUUCCUACCAGUUGCCUGCCACCUGCAAGCAGGAGGGCUCAGCCUACCUGCCUGGGAGGUGGGGGGCAGUUUUCCGGGGCCAGCAGGUGACACUCAAGACUCAUACCAUUCUUCAUUGCCACACCUUCACAAGUGGAAUCAGGUUUCAAGUCCUUGAUGUGAAGACCCUUUUUCUCCCUUUGGCCUGGACAUUUUUUUUUAUCACUGGUAUGAAUUGUCUUUAAUUAAGAUGUUUUAUUUUGUAUGCUAUGCUUUCAAAGCCUUAACUGUCAUAUCUAGCAUGAUUUAUGCAAAAAUACCCUGGGCUAGCACAGGUAAAACUAAAUUUCAUUAUAAUGUAAUGCUGUUUUAAUAAACUUGAGUUCUGCUGCUAAAGGAUCCCUCUCUUUGGGAGCCAUGCUACUAUGUAUGGCAUGUAGACCUCAGCUAGGCUGUGGGAGUGGUUUUGAGUUUUUGUGGAAAUGCCCUUGCAUAAGUAUUCAUGAAGUGGAUGGUUUAUAAAUGAAGAGCACACUCUAGAAUGUGAGAUGCU